CCACAGAAACAUACACACAUACAGUAGAUAUUAGGGGUGUGCAGACGAGCCGAUAUGCAUCUAGAUCUACAGUCUAUGAUCUAGAUACAUGGGGUGCGAUACAAUUCAGGGGUGAUACAUUUUAAUAUGGAACGAUUAGGUACAAUUCGAUUGGGUAUGAUGCUAUCUGAUACAGUUCCUUGUUUAAAGUAGACAUUCAUUUUACAUCAGAAAUCAACAUAAGUCAAUCCUAUAAAUGACUGCAAUUUAAAUAGAUACAUCUCAUAAAAGAGCAGGGAACAAGUAUUUUUUUUACUUUUUUCAUGUACGGGUUCAGAACCAGGUCAUUGUGUUUAUUACUGUAAUACAUUGCACUUUGAGAAGUUUGCAAAGCCCCUCUGUCAAUGAAAACAAACUUAAUAUUUAGUCUUCAUUAUUGGCACAAAUUAGAAAAACUAGUAAAGGAGAUGAAAGAAAUAAAACAUUUGGAGAGAGUAGUAUUCAAAAUUUAUAAUAACAUAAAUUCAAAAGAGCUUGUCUCAUUUCAUAAGUGCUUGAGCCAACACAAGAGACUUAAGACAACAGUAACAGUAAAGGCCCAUUCACAUCAAGAACUAUAAUUAUAACUAUAACUAUAAGUAUAUAGUUUUAAAAAUGGUUGUAACUCCAGUGGAUGGUGGAGUCCACACCACAACUAUUAACCCUCCUACAGUAGUGAACAAUUGUUGGAUCACUUUCAGAGUGAUUUGAUGAAUGAUAGAAACACUGACAGCCAAUCAACAUUUUUCCACUAAACCAUACAGCAAUCAAAUCUGCCUCCAACCUGACAUUUACAGUACAACUUCAAAACCUGCAAAUAUCAUCUUCAUUUUGGAAACUGAGUGAUGACUUAUUGACUUAUUUAUAUUAAUUUAUUUUAUUGUGGCUUUGCUCCUCUCUCACCACAGACUAAAGCGCUGUAAAUUGGAGCAGAAUGACACCCACAGGUGAUUUCUUUAGAUAGACUUCAGAUCUGUGCUCAUACUGUGUGUUACUGCAACAGCAGUGCACUUCUACACAUCAGGCUUCAACAUUUGCUGCUGUCAGUCAGCUCAGUUUGGUCUAUAAAUAUAGAAACAUCACAGCAACUAGUGUCUGCAAUAAUUCUUAAUGUUACUGUGACGAGUAUCGUGGUAGUUUUAUGGAGAGAGAGAGAGAGAGAGAGAGAGAGAGAGAGAGAGAGAGAGAGAGAGAGAGAGAGAGAGAGAGAGAGAGAGAGAGAGAGAGUUGUAGACAGUGAGCUGAUGAAGCUUUCAGCAGCACAGCAGCUACAUAAUUCAUAAUUUCAUAACGGUUAUUUGUUACACAACCUACUAGAUACCUUACUGAAACUCAUGCUGGGAAAAAAGCAGCAAAUGGCAAUAAUCUGGUCUGCAUCAAAAACAUAUUACAUAAUGUUAAAUGUUUUUCAGGCUGUGAAGGUAA